AUCUAUUUUUAUUAAAAAGGAAGUUAGGUGAAAAUCCUACACAGUGCCGAUACUGUAAUUAGGGAGUAGUAAUUCAAUAUGCCAUUGAACAUAAAUUAUGUUUGAGAAGGUGAAUUAGUAUGAUGAUCUUUAAGUCAGGAGACUUGCCAGUAUUAUAA
rnacentral:ncRNA from 1 species